GACGAACGCUGGCGGCGUGCUUAACACAUGCAAGUCGAACGGAAAGGCCCUGCUUUUGUGGGGUGCUCGAGUGGCGAACGGGUGAGUAACACGUGAGUAACCUGCCCUUGACUUUGGGAUAACUUCAGGAAACUGGGGCUAAUACCGGAUAGGAGCUCCUGCUGCAUGGUGGGGGUUGGAAAGUUUCGGCGGUUGGGGAUGGACUCGCGGCUUAUCAGCUUGUUGGGGGGGUAGUGGCUUACCAAGGCUUUGACGGGUAGCCGGCCUGAGAGGGUGACCGGCCACAUGGGGACUGCGAUACGGACCAGACUCCUACGGGAGGCAGCGGUGGGGAAUAUUGCACAAUGGGCGGAAGCCUGAUGCAGCAACGCCGCGUGCGGGAUGACGGCCUUCGGGUUGUAAACCGCUUUCGCCUGUGACGAAGCGUGAGUGACGGUAAUGGGUAAAGAAGCACCGGCUAACUACGUG
rnacentral:rRNA from 1 species